rnacentral:rRNA from 1 species
UACAGAGGGGGCAAGCGUUGUUCGGAAUUACUGGGCGUAAAGGGUUCGUAGGUGGCCAACUAAGUCAGACGUGAAAUCCCUCAGCUUAACUGGGGAACUGCGUCUGAUACUGGAUGGCUUGAGUUUGGGAGAGGGAUGCGGAAUUCCAGGUGUAGCGGUGAAAUGCGUAGAUAUCUGGAGGAACACCGGUGGCGAAGGCGGCAUCCUGGACCAACACUGACACUGAGGAGCGAAAGCUAGGGGAGCAAACGGG